GAUGAAGAACGCAGCGAAAUGCGAUAAGUAGUGUGAAUUGCAGAAUUCCGUGAAUCAUCGAGUCUUUGAACGCACAUUGCGCCCCCUGGUAUUCCGGGGGGCAUGCCUGUCCGAGCGUCAUUACAACCCUCAAGCCCGGCUUGUGUAAUGGGCGGCCGUCUCUCCCCCCGGGGGGAGACGCCCCCGAAACUCAGUGGGGAUGUCGCGAUACCGAAGCCUCAGCUAAUGGGUAAACCACAGCUGCAAUGGCCGCGGCCGGCGUCCGCCUUCCACGGUCCGUCCGCCUAGCGCGGGCGGCCUUCUCAAGGUUGACCUCGGAUCAGGUAGGGAUACCCGCUGAACUUAAGCAUAUCAAUAAGCGGAGGA
rnacentral:misc_RNA from 1 species